rnacentral:rRNA from 1 species
GUCCCAGUUCGGAUAAGAGGCUGAAACUCGCCUCUUUGAAGUCGGAAUCGCUAGUAAUCGCAGGUCAGCAUACUGCGGUGAAUACGUUCCCGGGUCUUGUACACACCGCCCGUCACACCAUGGGAGCCGGAAAUGCCCGAAGCCAGUGACCCAACCUUAGGGAGGGAGCUGUCGAAGGUGGAGCCGGUAACUGGGGUGAAGUCGUAACAAGGUAGC